CCUACGGGUGGCAGCAGUGGGGAAUAUUGCACAAUGGGGGAAACCCUGAUGCAGCGACGCCGCGUGAGUGAAGAAGUAUUUCGGUAUGUAAAGCUCUAUCAGCAGGGAAGAAAAUGACGGUACCUGAUUAAGAAGCCCCGUCUAACUACGUGCCAGCAGCCGCGGUAAUACGGAGGGUGCAAGCGUUAUCCGGAUUUACUGGGUGUAAAGGGAGUGUAGACGGCAGCACAAGUCGUGAGUGAAAUGCCGGGGCUUAACCCCGGAACUGCUUUGGAAACUGGGCAGAUAGAGUGCAGGAGAGGUAAGUGGAAUUCCUAGGGUAGCGGUGAAAUGCGUAGAUAUGAGGAAGAACACCAGGGGCGAAGGCGGCUUACUGGACUGUAACUGACGUUGAGGCUCGAAAGCGUGGGGAGCAAACAGGAUUAGAUACCCGUGUAGUC
rnacentral:rRNA from 1 species